GGCGAGACUAGAGUCACAUCCUGAUAUUUCUGGUUGUCCUGGUGUGCUAGAGUCCUUGCAGAGUGAUUUUUCUUUGCUUAUUCAUUGGCUGCUGCUGCUUUCCAUUGCUCAGCCAAUCACCAGCUCAGAAACAGCU
ensembl:snoRNA